CUUGGAGGUAGCCUAUGAUUUUCAAGUCCCUCUUGCCAGUGGGAAACUCAAGAGCAUCUGCUUUGCCCUGCACACCCAAGUGUGUGAUAUUGCACAACUGCCGAGAUCACAGAACCAGGUCAAGGUGUUCUACUGUCUCCCUCUGCUUGACCAAUUUAUUUCCCUUGUGGGCUCCUGGCUUAAGACCGACAAGGAGGCAAGCCAUGUGGUGUCCCUUGCAAUCUUAAGUGGCAUCAUUGCUUCUGACUGUAAGUAUGACCAGAGCAAACAUAUUGACUGCUGUCUUGGUUGACCCCUCAGGAACUGAAUAAGGACUGUCCAGGAUGAAUAACCUGUCCUGCUCUAACUGCACUCAAGAGCCCUGGCUGUGUAGAGCUAGAGCCAGACCUCCAAUCUCUGCUGGUCAGUCACAGAGGGCCAGUAGCAUGCUGAGUCCUGCUGUAUGACACAGGAAUGCUGGGUCCAAAUCCUGCUUUGACACCUUUCCUGGCAGCACUCUGAAGUCAAGAGGUUUAACAAGACCUUUGUGA